rnacentral:rRNA from 1 species
GUGCUAGCCGCCGCGGUAAUACCGGCAGCCCAAGUGAUGGCCGAUCUUAUUGGGCCUAAAGCGUCCGUAGCUGGCUGCGCAAGUCCGUCGGGAAAUCCACUCGCCCAACGAGUGGGCGUCCGACGGAAACUGCACAGCUUGGGACCGGAAGGCUCGAAGGGUACGUUCGGGGUAGGAGUGAAAUCCCAUAAUCCCGCACGGACCACCGAUGGGGAAACCACCUCAGGAGAACGGAUCCGACAGUGAGGGACGAAAGCCAGGGUCUCGAACCGGAUUAGAUACCCCGGUAGUCC